AUGACUAAAAUUAUUGUCUCAAGUAUAAUUCUUAUCAGUCUUAAAGCUUCAGUUAUCUCUUCCCUCAACAUCCAGCAGUUACCACCACAUCUAAUAAUGACAGCUGAGCAGAAAGAAGCGAAGCUCACCUGCUGGCAUGGUGAUAACAACUAUAACUCCAUGUACUGGUAUCAACAAAAGACAGUCGGUGGCUCAAUUGAGCUCAUUGGAAUGCUUGUGUAUGAAAAACCCACUCCUGAGGAGAAGUUUAAAGCAAGAUUCAACAUUUCAGGACACUCUAAAGAGGAUGCGUUUCUGCUCAUAUCCAGUAUAACUCCUGAGGACAGUGCAGUAUAUUUCUGUGCUGCUAGUAAGCACAGCCACACACCUUCCCUCUCUGUUUAACAAAAAGCUUCACACCAAACACCUGCAAAUAAGAUCUGUUCUCUGAUUAGUACAAUCUGUAAUAGAACGCAAUAUAGGAAGUGUACAGUAGAGGUCACUGAUAAAACUGGUAGCAUGUAGAAGAUGUGAAGCUCAUUUCAGGUGUAACAACAACAUGAUCUUCACUUGUGAGAAUUCAUAUGAAACUCAUUUAAAUCAUUUUCACUCACGAGUCACUUUACAUUUUCUGUUGUGCUUAGGGCUAUUAAUAGAGUUAAUAUGCCAUUAAUACUACUGAGUUUUUAUAGUGUUUAGUGCUUACUGUAUAGUUUGCUUACUCUAUUGUUAGAUAUUAUAUAGUUUAUAGGUUAUUGUAUAGUGUAUGGCCGGGAUUUAUUGUAUUUAUUGACUUUUCACUGUUUGUUACUGUGUUUCUACGCUUCUUGUUAGUCACUGUUUCAUAUUCAGUGCAGCAGGAUGAUUCCAGGAGAGCUAGAUUUUGUUUCUAACAAUAAAGCCUACUGGAUUGAUUUGACUUGGCUAGUUCUGUUAGCUAACAUUUAAGCAAUAUUCUAGUUAUUCCAAUAGAGGGCAGUAAAGAGAAAUGAAACUGUAUAAACAGUGUUGUUUGUCAGUUUUAUGCACACUAUUUACAGAGUGGAAGAUCACACUGAGCACUGAAACGCCUUUUCAAAAUGAUGCAUGUAAUUAUGCUCAUGAUUAGAUUCCUGAUCCUUAAAACAAUCUCACUGAUGUUAUUAACAGGUGAGAUUUUGUGCUGUUAUAUAACAAGGAAACAAAUAUGUUCACUUCCACGAUCAUGUACCUUUACACUACACUACUCUUUUUUACUGUCUCUCAAUAGCAUCAGUUCUGAGUAAAGAUGUUGUCCAGACUCCACCAGAUCUGCUGAGAAAUCU